GGGAGUAGCCAAGCUUGGCCAACGGCGCAAGAUUCAGAGUCUUGUCCAGAAGUGGUUCUCCGGUUCAAAUCCGGACUCCCGCA
rnacentral:tRNA from 1 species